rnacentral:rRNA from 1 species
UCAAGUUAUUAAGGGUGCAGGGAGGAUGCCUUGGCACUAGGAGCCGAUGAAGGACGUGAUAAGCUGCGAUAAGCUUCGGGGAGUUGCACGUAAACUUUGAUCCGAAGAUUUCCGAAUGAGGAAACUCACUUAGAGUAAUGUCUAAGUAUCAUUAAGUGAAUACAUAGCUUAAUGAGGGGAACUCAGGGAACUGAAACAUCUAAGUACCUGAAGGAAGAGAAAGAAAUUCGAUUCCGUAAGUAGCGGCGAGCGAACGCGGAUUAGCCCAAACCAAUAAAGUUUUCUUUAUUGGGGUUGAGGACAUACCACAUAUAAGAGGUCAUUAUAGACGAAGAAGUUUGGAAAAACUCAUCAUAGAAGGUAAUAAUCCUGUAGUCAAAAUAAUAAUUCUUUAGGUAUGAUCCAGAGUACCACGGGACACGUGAAACCCUGUGGGAAGCAGGAGGGACCACCCUCCAAGGCUAAAUACUACCUAGUGACCGAUAGCGUAUAGUACCGUGAGGGAAAGGUGAAAAGAACCCCGGGAGGGGAGUGAAAUAGAACCUGAAACCCUGCACUUACAAGCUGUGGAAGCACAUUUCUUGUGUGACCGCGUACUUUUUGUAGAACGGGCCAACGAGUUACGUUAAGUAGCAAGGUUAAGCACUUAAGGUGCGGAGCCGUAGCGAAAGCGAGUUUUAACUGAGCGUUCAGUUACUUGACGUAGACCCGAAACCGGGCGACCUACCCAUGAGCAGGAUGAAGCGAAAGUAAAAUUUCGUGGAGGUCCGAACCCACGAGCGUUGAAAAGCUCGGGGAUGACUUGUGGGUAGCGGUGAAAUUCCAAUCGAGCCCGGAGAUAGCUGGUUCUCCCCGAAAUAGCUUUAGGGCUAGCCUCAAGGUGAGAGAUACGGAGGUAGAGCACUGAAUGUCCUAGGGGGUAUUGCACCUACCGAAGACUAUCAAACUCCGAAUGCCGUCAUCUUAUACUUGGGAGUCAGACUGUGGGUGAUAAGAUUCAUAGUCGAAAGGGCAACAGCCCAGAUCGUCAGCUAAGGUCCCUAAAUGUAAGUUAAGUGGUAAAGGAUGUGGGAUUGCACAGACAACCAGGAUGUUGGCUUAGAAGCAGCCACUCAUUCAAAGAGUGCGUAAUAGCUCACUGGUCGAGUGAUCCUGCGCCGAAGAUUUCCGGGGCUAAAACUUACUACCGAAGCUACGGCAUCAGUAAUGAUGGGUAGGGGAGCUUCCCAUACGGGUUGAAGCGUGACCGUAAGGACAUGUGGACAGUAUGGGAGUGAGAAUGUUGGCAUGAGUAGCGAGAUGUGGGUGAGAAUCCCACAGGCCGUAAACCCAAGGUUUCCAGGGGAAGGUUCGUCCGCCCUGGGUUAGUCGGGACCUAAGCUGAGGCCGAAAGGCGUAGGUGAUGGACAACAGGUUGAUAUUCCUGUACUACCGAUAACCGUUUGAGAGAAGGGAUGACACAGUAGGAUAAGCUAAGCACACUGUUGGUUAUGUGUGCCCAAGCAUUGAGGCAGUCAAAGUAGGCAAAUCCGCUUUGAUAAUGCUGGGAUGUGAUGGGGAGCGAAAUUUAGUAGCGAAGUAGCUGAUUUCACACUGUCAAGAAAAGUCUCUAUCGAGGUUAAAGGUACCCGUACCGCAAACCGACACAGGUGGGUGAGGAGAGUAUCCUAAGGCCAGCGAGAGAACUGUUGUUAAGGAACUCGGCAAAAUGACCCCGUAACUUAGGGAUAAGGGGUGCCACCAUCAGGUGGCCGCAGAGAAUAGGCCCAAGCGACUGUUUACCAAAAACAUAGGUUUCUGCUAAGUCGCAAGACGAUGUAUAGGAGCUGACGCCUGCCCGGUGCUGGAAGGUUAAGGGGAUCUGUUAGAGCAAUCGAAGCAGUGAACUUAAGCCCCAGUAAACGGCGGCCGUAACUAUAACGGUCCUAAGGUAGCGAAAUUCCUUGUCGGGUAAGUUCCGACCCGCACGAAAGGCGUAACGAUUUGGGCACUGUCUCAACAACAGACUCGGUGAAAUUGUAAUUCCGGUGAAGAUGCCGGAUACCUGCGACAGGACGGAAAGACCCCAUGGAGCUUUACUGUAGCUUGACAUUGGGUCUUGGUACUACAUGUACAGGAUAGGUGGGAGGCUUUGAAACCAGGACGCCAGUUUUGGCGGAGCCAUCCUUGGGAUACCACCCUUGUAGUACUGGGACUCUAACCAUAGGCCAUGAAUCUGGUCUUGGGACACUGUCAGGUGGGCAGUUUGACUGGGGCGGUCGCCUCCCAAAAGGUAACGGAGGCGCUCAAAGGUUCUCUCAGUACGGUCGGAAAUCGUACGUAGAGUGUAAAGGCAAAAGAGAGCUUGAUUGCAAGACAUACAGGUCGAGCAAGGAUGAAAAUCGGACUUAGUGAUCCGGUGGUUCUGCGUGGAAGGGCCAUCGCUCAACGGAUAAAAGCUACCCUGGGGAUAACAGGCUUAUCUCCCCCAAGAGUCCACAUCGACGGGGAGGUUUGGCACCUCGAUGUCGGCUCAUCACAUCCUGGGGCUGUAGUAGGUCCCAAGGGUUGGGCUGUUCGCCCAUUAAAGUGGUACGCGAGCUGGGUUCAGAACGUCGUGAGACAGUUCGGUCCCUAUCCGUCGCAGGCGUAGGAAAUUUGAGAAGACCUGUCCUUAGUACGAGAGGACCGGGAUGGACGUACCUCUGGUGUACCAGUUGUCCUGCCAAGGGCAUGGCUGGGUAGCUAUGUACGGAAUGGAUAAGCGCUGAAAGCAUCUAAGCGCGAAGCCAACUUCAAGAUAAGAUUUCCCACCGCAAGGGUAAGACCCCAGAAAGACUAUCUGGUUGAUAGGUCGAAGGUGUAAGUGCAGCAAUGUAUUUAGCUUAUCGAUACUAAUAGGUCGAGGACUUGACCAA